CCCAGACGGCGCCUCUAGCGCCAGUGUCAGCGAGCGGGUGGUUGCGUCGGUCGUAGAUCCCCAUGGGCGCCGUCGCUGAGGGCAUGGGCAUGUACCUGCCGCCGGGGCUGCCGACCCUCUGCUCGUUCGUCGCCAAAAUAAACAGCAGUAGGUUUCACGGAUGCAGCUCGCGUUCCGGCAGCGCGUUCUGCAAAUGCCCAGGACCACGACGACCUCGGCGCCAGCGGUCGACCUGCUGCCCGCCUCCGACCACACGAUCGGCUGUUGCUCGCCUACCGGCCGCGCGUUCUGCAGAUGGCCAUACGGCCGACCUGCUGCUCGCCUCCGACCACGAUGGGCUGCUGCUCACCGACCGGCCGCGCGUUCUGUAGAUGGCCUGGACCACGUCGACUCGACGCCGGCGGCCGACCUGUUGCUCGCCUCUGACCACGACAGGCUGCUCGUCGACCGGCCGCGCGCCGGUGCGCAGGACGGUGGGCCGAUGGCGCGUACUCGUCCACCCAGCGCGACCUGCCCGCCUUCACUGGCUCCCUAUAUUGCCCUGGUUCCAUCGAUUUGAUCGCAGGCAUCCAUGGCUCGUAUAUUGUUAGCAUUACUGGCCUACAGACUGGAGAAGGAGGGUCUCCUCCACGGCAAGGAUCAACAAUUCAGCAUCCAGUGGCCAGAACUGUAUCUUGUUCAAUAGUAGUCCGACCAGUUGUAUCUUGUUCAGCAUAAAUUCGUCUCUUCUUUUUACAACCAUGCAUAGACUAUUUUUGCAUACAUCUCUAAUUUUUUGUUACAUCUAAAUACUAUUUUAUUACAUGUAAGCACUAUUUUGUUACGUCUAACAAGCAGUUGAACACCUCUGAUUUUUUUUA